AGGUGAACCUGCGGAAGGAUCAUUGUCGAAUUCGAAGUGGAGAACGACCCGCGAACCGUUUUUGCGUCACAAAAGGUGGCGCGUCCAGCGAAAAAGGGCCGCGCCGCGCCGUAAUUUAUCAACGUCAGCACGGAUCGUGCCAAGUACUGCAUUGGCGAGAAUCGUCGUCCUCCCCCUCUUUGGGGGGCGGGGGACAUGUGCGAUCUCUGCUCUUAGUCUUAAUGACUCUCGGCAACGGAUAUCUCGGCUCUUGCAUCGAUGAAGAACGCAGCGAAAUGCGGUACUUGGUGUGAAUUGCAGAAUCCCGCGAACCAUCAACUCUUUGAACGCAAGUUGCGCCCGAAGCCAUACGGCCGAGGGCACGCCUGCCUGGGUGUCGUGGAUCCCCUUGCCGCCGGCGCCCGCACGAGCAUCGUCGCGGGUAUUUCCGGGCGCAGAAUAUGGUCUCCCGCCGGGUCGGCGUGCGCGGCACGUCGUCGGGCGGUUGGCCGAAAAUCGAGCAUUGCGACGUCCGGUUCCACGGCGUUCGGUGGAUCGAACGCGAUUGGCAGCGCCGUGGUCCCGUCUUGCCACGGGCUCUGGACUUCGACGAUUUCUGAAUGCGAUCCCAGGUCAGGUGGGA
rnacentral:rRNA from 1 species